GAACAAUCAUCAUAUUGUAAUUCAGUUAAAACGCCGUCACUUUGAAAUUAUAGAUCAAUAAAUUAUCCUUUUUUUGGUUGGUGUUGUUUUGCAUUUGAAGGAAAAUCGUCAGAAUAGGUGAUAUAAAUGGGUUCUUGGUGGGUCACUUGGCAUUUCUAUCAAGGGGGCAUAUAAACCCGGCAAUCAUUUAAGCUUAUGCUUGGCUCAUGUUUAUAAAUGCUCAUUUACUCAUCCACCACUUAUUUCUAUCUAUUUAUAAUUUAAACCGUUUAUAAAUACUUCCCAAACAUGCUCGAAGUAUAUACAAGAAUUGUUGAAUUUUAUACCUUUUUUCUGUUCUGUUGGUUUAAUUUGGUGGACCAUAUGCUGGUAGCGAUAUGACCACAGUGGUAAAGAUCUGCAGUCUGCAUGUUACAGGAGUAAGAGCAGCUUCAUAUUUUUUCUUCCAAUUCACCUGCAGGUAUAUUAAGCCUGAAGAUUUAGGAUACUUGGAGCUACUUCAGAGUCUGAGAACUGGAGAUUGCUCCUGAAUCUGAAUUUUAUUCAUUUGUGAAGCUUGAGACACGGCGAUGAUCAGGUACAUGCAGGAGUUUUGGCGAGAAAGAAAUAUCAGAAAUGAGAUGAACAUGCUAAAUUAUUUGUUCCUCCAAACAAGAUCGUGUAAAUCGCCAUGGAAAUCAGUUUUGAUACUUUUUUCCUUAAAUCUUCGAUUUUUCAUUUUUGAUUGGUUUAGGAAUCUUAAUCUGUGUCUCUUUGGCAACAAUGUUUCUUCUUUUGGCAUUGACUUGCUCUAGUUUCCUGUUAUUCUCUGUCGACUGUUAUAAUCCCACAGCCUCUUGCAUGGUUAGGAUCCUUCGCCGUCUUUGGUUUUUGUAAGAGCUGGUGAUACAAACAUGGAAAUAUAGAAAUGAGAUAAAUAAUGCAAACCAUGUCCUAAAACUAAGGAGCAAAU
rnacentral:lncRNA from 1 species